GGUAAACAAGACAUUUUCAAUUCAAUGGGUUCUAUGUAUGCAGCCAUUAUGUUCCUUGGAGUACAGCCGGUUGUCGCUAUUGAAAGAACCGUCUUCUAUCUGGAAAGAGCAGAUGGGAUGUAUUCAGUUCUUCCAUAUGCUGUUGGAUAGGCAAUUGAUCCAGUGGCCAACUGAAGAACUAGAAGGAUUGGGAGGAGCAAACAGGCCCACCAUUUGCAGGAUAUGUAGAUGUGAACUAUAGACUAAGUGUGGAUCUAUGAGAUGAUGAUUUGUUAUUAAAAGAGCAAGCUAUGCAAGCACAAAGCUGAUAGUGUGAUAAAAUGAUAUUUACACGCUUGGGAGCUCUUUAACAAUGUAAAGUUAAUUUUUACUAGAACCAGGAACUUACAAGUAAAGCUGUGUAAUUUUAUAUUCUGACAAUCGAUGUGUGACUUUGAAGUCUAGGUAAUGCAUUGAAUUUGACUGCAGGUCUUUUUAUUUCA